AAUGAACGCUGGCGGCAGGCUUAACACAUGCAAGUCGAGCGGGGGAAGGUAGCUUGCUACCGGACCUAGCGGCGGACGGGUGAGUAAUGCUUAGGAAUCUGCCUAUUAGUGGGGGACAACAUCUCGAAAGGGAUGCUAAUACCGCAUACGUCCUACGGGAGAAAGCAGGGGAUCUUCGGACCUUGCGCUAAUAGAUGAGCCUAAGUCGGAUUAGCUAGUUGGUGGGGUAAAGGCCUACCAAGGCGACGAUCUGGAGCGGGUCUGAGAGGAUGAUCCGCCACACUGGGACUGAGACACGGCCCAGACUCCUACGGGAGGCAGCAGUGGGGAAUAUUGGACAAUGGGGGGAACCCUGAUCCAGCCAUGCCGCGUGUGUGAAGAAGGCCUUAUGGUUGUAAAGCACUUUAAGCGAGGAGGAGGCUACUCUAGUUAAUACCUAGGGAUAGUGGACGUUACUCGCAGAAUAAGCACCGGCUAACUCUGUGCCAGCCGCCGCGGUAA
rnacentral:rRNA from 1 species